rnacentral:rRNA from 1 species
GGAUAACCUGCCCUUGGGUCCGGCAUAACCCCGGGAAACUGGGGAUAAUUCCGGAUAACGCACAUAUGCUGGAAUGCUUUAUGCGUCAAAUGGGUUCGUCUGCCCAAGGAUGGGUCUGCGGCCUAUCAGGUAGUAGUGGGUGUAAUGUACCUACUAGCCGACGACGGGUACGGGUUGUGAGAGCAAGAGCCCGGAGAUGGAUUCUGAGACAUGAAUCCAGGCCCUACGGGGUGCAGCAGGCGCGAAAACUUUACAAUGCGGGAAACCGUGAUAAGGGGACACCGAGUGCCAGCAUCAUAUGCUGGCUGUCCAGGUGUGUAAAAUACACCUGUUAGCAAGGGCCGGGCAAGACCGGUGCCAGCCGCCGCGGUAACACCGGCGGCCCGAGUGGUGAUCGUGAUUAUUGGGUCUAAAGGGUCCGUAGCCGGUUUGGUCAGUCCUCCGGGAAAUCUGAUAGCUCAACUAUUAGGCUUUCGGGGGAUACUGCCAGACUUGGAACCGGGAGAGGUAAGAGGUACUACAGGGGUAGGAGUGAAAUCUUGUAAUCCCUGUGGGACCACCUGUGGCGAAGGCGUCUUACCAGAACGGGUUCGACGGUGAGGGACGAAAGCUGGGGGCACGAACCGGAUUAGAUACCCGGGUAGUCCCAGCCGUAAACGAUGCUCGCUAGGUGUCAGACAUGGCGCGACCGUGUCUGGUGCCGCAGGGAAGCCGUGAAGCGAGCCACCUGGGAAGUACGGCCGCAAGGCUGAAACUUAA